GACGAACGCUGGCGGCGUGCUUAACACAUGCAAGUCGAACGGAAAAGCCCUUCUUUUGUCUUCUGCUCGAGUGGCUAACUUCUAGUUAACACGUGAGUAAUCUGCCCUUGACUUUGUGCUAUCUUCAGGAAACUGAGACUCAUACCUGGUUGCUACUCCCGCUUCAUGGUGGGGGUUCGCAUGUUUCGGCGGUGGGGGAUGGACUCGCGGCUUAUCAGCUUGCUGGUGGGGUAGUGGAUUGCCAAGGCUUUGACUGGUAGCCGGCCUGAGCGGGUGGCCGGACACAUUGGGACUGAGAUAAGGCACAGACUCCUACGGGAGGCAGCGGUGGGGAAGAGUGCACAACGGGAGGAAGCAUGAUGCAGCAAAGCCGCGUGCGGGAUGAGGGCAAUCGGGUUGUAAACCGCUUUCGCCUGUGAAGAAGAGUGAGUGACGGUAAUGGGUAAAGAAGCACCGGCUAACUACGUG
rnacentral:rRNA from 1 species